ACAUUUUGGGUGCACCGGCGAAACUCGUCCCCGGGGCCGGGGUCGUCCUGGCAACGAGAAGGGCUGUGUGUGCCAGUGUAAACAACCCGAUCGGGCACCAGGUACACGGUCUCGGUUCCGCAGGAGCCCCUCCGCCACCCCAAGUCCGAGGGGACAAAGACCCAGGUCCUUUCUCAGCUGCGGACUUGAAAUGACCGCACGCGAGGGCGGCGGGCCAUAGGAAGGAUUUCGCGGAAAGGUGCCGGGCAGCUGCGAGCUGGGGGCCGAGCGAUGCCGGGCCCUGCACGCCUGGGGAGUGGGGGACAGGGGAGAGAGAGCGAGCCCAGCGCCGGCCUGGAAGGGGGUCUCGCCUCGCGGUGCCUCCGCAGGCGCCGGACCCUCCCGCUGGAAGGCCGCGCGGCCCGGUCUGGUCCGCCCGCGGGGCAGGCGCCGGACGCAACUUGGAGAGCACCAGAUGCACACCCGGCUGCCGCUUCUCCGGGAGCUCUUCGUAGUUACUUGGUCUUUCUGCUGCUUGAAUAUGAAAAGUCUAAAGAAACCAGUGCUGGGAGCUCCUUUUGGGGUAUCCAAGUUUACCAGAGGCCAAGUCUACACAAGUGCAAAGCAGCCUAACUGAGGCAGCUGCUGAGUGCCUACUGAGUGUCAGGCCCUUGGAAUUCUGUGAUGAAUUCCAGAGUACUCCUGGAUGUACUGAUGUACGCCUAGACUACACUCCCCAUGAUGAGCACUGGGUAAUGUAUAGAACUGUUGACUCGCUAUAUUGUAUACCCGAAACUAACAUAGCACUGUAUGUUAACUAUACUGGAAUUAGAAUUUAACACUUAAAAAAAUGGGGCUCCUUCCUUCCAUGCAGGAAUCUAGCGGGGGAAUAAAACAUGGCGUCAAAAGGAAACGUAAAACAAGUAAGUUCCUGCCCUGAAGGCGAUCUGCACGGGGCCUCUCAUCACCUCGCUGAUCGUCAGGGCUGCUUCGCCUGAUCUGGCUGGAAAAGUAUUAACUAAAGUAAAAUAAAAUUAAAGUAAACAAGUAAAUUCCAGUAGGUAGGAGCCGCUGGCUUUGUCGGCCCCAAGUCGGGAGGUGGAAAGGUGAGCGGGAGGCCAGGGCACCAUAUGAAGGGACUCGAGUAAGUGUGAGAAUGUAAGGGAGUAGGAUUUAUAAGGGCUCGACUGGAAGGAUUGAAGACAAGGAUGAAAAUGGGUGCAAGGAAGACAGAAAACGCUUCAAUGGGAUCGCUCCAGAGCGGGAUGAACGAUGAAGGGGACGCUAAAGUCAGGUGGGCUCCUCAAGGCAAAGGUGCAUCCGUCUCACUCACCUCCUCCCUCUCCUUGUCCCCAGGGGCCAGGCCAUGGCUUGUUGCUCCCGCUCCGGUUGGGGGGCAGGGCGGGCGCGGGGAGCAGACGCGACAGAAGAGAAGGGGAUGCCCCGUGGCACAGAGGGCAUGUGCGGAUCAGGAGAGGGAUGGGUAUGACUGGUUUCAGGAGCCUUGGUCAAGGCCGCCACGCUAAUGGCUCAGACCAUUCCAGUGACUGGAUGGAGAGCAAGGGUGAGAGUGAGAGCGGCUGCCCCGAGGGGAGCGGGCAGAUUUGGGGGGCUCCAGACUCUUUGACCAACUGUGACACUGCCCCCCUACCCCCAGAGCCCCAGGCCUCCCGCUCUUGGGGGUGCAAACCCGCCACUGGAGCCACUGGAG